rnacentral:rRNA from 1 species
UACGGGGGGGGCAAGCGUUGUUCGGAAUUACUGGGCGUAAAGGGCUCGUAGGCGGCCCUCUCAGUCGGAUGUGAAAUCCCCAGGCUUAACCUGGGAACGGCAUCCGAUACUGGAGGGCUUGAAUUCGGGAGAGGGAUGCAGAAUUCCAGGUGUAGCGGUGAAAUGCGCAGAUAUCAGGAAGAACACCAAUGGCGAAAGCAGCUCUCUGGGACGGUACUGACGCUGAGACGCGAAAGCGUGGGGAGCGAACAGG